GACGAACGCUGGCGGCGCGCUUAACACAUGCAAGUCGAGCGAUGAAAUCUUAACAGAACCCUUCGGGGCGAAGAUAAGACGGAUUAGCGGCGGACGGGUGAGUAACACGUGAGUAACCUGCCUUUUACACAGGGAUAGCCUCGGGAAACCGGGAUUAAAACCUGAUGAAACUAUCAAAUCACAUGAUUAAGAAAGUUAAAACUCCGGUGGUAAAAGAUGGACUCGCGUCCCAUUAGCUAGUUGGUGAAGGUAACGGCCCACCAAGGCAACGAUGGGUAGCCGGCCUGAGAGGGUGAACGGCCACAUUGGAACUGAGAAACGGUCCAAACUCCUACGGGAGGCAGCAGUGGGGAAUAUUGCACAAUGGGGGAAACCCUGAUGCAGCGACGCCGCGUGAGCGAAGAAGGCCUUCGGGUCGUAAAGCUCUUUUAUAUGGGAAGAUAAUGACGGUACCAUAAGAAAAAGCCCCGGCUAACUACGUGCCAGCAGCCGCGGUAAUACGUAGGGGGCUAGCGUUGUCCGGAAUCACUGGGCGUAAAGGGUUCGCAGGCGGCAAUGCAAGUCAGAUGUAAAAGGCAAAGGCUCAACCUUUGUAAGCAUCUGAAACUGUAUAGCUUGAGAAGUGUAGAGGCAAGUGGAAUUUUUAGUGUAGCGGUGAAAUGCGUAGAUAUUAAAAAGAAUACCGGUGGCGAAGGCGACUUGCUGGGCAUAAUCUGACGCUGAGGAACGAAAGCGUGGGGAGCAAACAGG
rnacentral:rRNA from 1 species